rnacentral:rRNA from 1 species
CUGCAGCUCGAGUGGUGGCCGCUAUUAUUGGGCCUAAAACGUCCGUAGCCGGUUUAGUAAAUGCCUGGGUAAAUCGUGUAGCUUAACUAUACGAAUUCCGGGUAGACUGCUAGACUUGGGACCGGGAGAGGCUAGAGGUACUCCUGGGGUAGAGGUGAAAUUCUGUAAUCCUAGGGGGACCACCAGUGGCGAAGGCGUCUAGCUAGAACGGGUCUGACGGUGAGGGACGAAGCCCUGGGGCGCAAACCGGAUUAGAUACCCGAGUAGUCC